AGCGGGGUAGAGCAAUUUGGCAGCUCGCCAGGCCCAUAACCUGGAGGUUCUCGGUUCGAGUCCGGGCCCCGCAA
rnacentral:tRNA from 1 species